UUCCACUGCAGGAGGCAACCUCUUCUUGGCGUUCAAACGCUGGCACCCUCAAGAAUCAGUCACUCACUCACCCUUCACAACACUUCUCACCUGUAUUUGAAGGAUAUGAGAAGUUAAGAUUAAAACAGCAUGAACAUUUUUAAAGUCCACAGCAUCAAAGGAUGAGACAUCCUCCUACUGGGAGCCUGGAAACAACAACAACAACACUACAGGGAGAAAAAUUGCUCCAAAUCCUGCUGACUGAAGAGAAGAGGCAUUAAAAUGGCGAGGAGAGAACAAGCAUUGAUCAGAUUCUGUGUCUACUCAACAUAAAAGCUAUCCAGACUACUAAGGGAAAAGGAGAAGUUUUGAAACACAUAUAGACACUCAGAAACCUGAACAGACCAGUAGAAGACCAAAAUGAAUGGCUGAAACUGAUAGAAAAUAGUGGAAACUGAGGAUGUAGAAGAAGAAAGAAAGAAGUUCUGUAUUACAUAGCACAUCUGAGGAAGGUUUAUUCCAAUAAAUAUCUUUAUAAGAGAAAGGAUGGUGUUGUGAUGAAGGCAUGGAAAUGGGA